rnacentral:tRNA from 1 species
GCCUUCGUGGUGUAAUGGUUAGCACACUCGGCUUAUUCGAGAUGUCCGAGGUUCAAGUCUUGUCGAGGGCA